rnacentral:rRNA from 1 species
CAACUUUCAGCAAUGGAUCUCUUGGCUCUCGCAUCGAUGAAGAACACAGCGAAUCGUGAUAAGUAAUGUGAAUUGCAGAUUUUCAGUGAAUCAUCGAAUCUUUGAACGCACCUUGCGCUCCUUGGUAUUCCGAGGAGCAUGCCUGUUUGAGUGUCAACG